AUGAACGCUGGCGGCGUGCCUCAUACAUGCAAGUCGAGCGAACGGACGAGAAGCUUGCUUCUCUGAUGUUAGCGGCGGACGGGUGAGUAACACGUGGAUAACCUACCUAUAAGACUGGGAUAACCUCGGGAAACCGGAGCUAAUACCGGAUAAUAUUUUGAACCGCAUGGUUCAAAAGUGAAAGACGGUCUUGCUGUCACUUAUAGAUGGAUCCGCGCUGCAUUAGCUAGUUGGUAAGGUAACGGCUUACCAAGGCAACGAUGCAUAGCCGACCUGAGAGGGUGAUCGGCCACACUGGAACUGAGACACGGUCCAGACUCCUACGGGAGGCAGCAGUAGGGAAUCUUCCGCAAUGGGCGAAAGCCUGACGGAGCAACGCCGCGUGAGUGAUGAAGGUCUUCGGAUCGUAAAACUCUGUUAUUAGGGAAGAACAUAUGUGUAAGUAACUGUGCACAUCUUGACGGUACCUAAUCAGAAAGCCACGGCUAACUACGUG
rnacentral:rRNA from 1 species